rnacentral:rRNA from 1 species
GAUCCUGGCUCAGAUUGAACGCUGGCGGCAUGCCUUACACAUGCAAGUCGAACGGCAGCACGGACUUCGGUCUGGUGGCGAGUGGCGAACGGGUGAGUAAUGUAUCGGAACGUACCUUUCAGUGGGGAUAACGUAGCGAAAGUUACGCUAAUACCGCAUAUUCUGUGAGCAGGAAAGCAGGGGAUCGCAAGACCUUGCGCUGAUUGAGCGGCCGAUAUCAGAUUAGCUAGUUGGUGAGGUAAAGGCUCACCAAGGCGACGAUCUGUAGCGGGGUCUGAGAGGAUGAUCCGCCACACUGGAACUGAGACACGGUCCAGACUCCUACGGGAGGCAGCAGUGGGGAAUUUUGGACAAUGGGGCAACCCUGAUCCAGCCAUGCCGCGUGAGUGAAGAAGGCCUUCGGGUUGUAAAGCUCUUUCGGCCGGGAAGAAAUCGCACGGGCUAAUACCCUGUGCGGAUGACGGUACCGGCAUAAGAAGCACCGGCUAACUACGUG